GACGAAGGAUGCAAGCGUUAUCCGGAUUCAUUGGGUUUAAAGGGAGCGUAGGUGGCCUUAUAAGUCAGUGGUGAAAUCUCUGGGCUUAACCCAGAAAUUGCCAUUGAUACUGUAGGGCUUGAGUAUAGUUGCCGUUGGCGGAAUAUGACAUGUAGUGGUGAAACACAUAGAGAUGUCAUAGAACACCGAUUGCGAAGGCAGCUAACGAAACUAUAACUGACACUGAGGCUCGAAAGUGCGGGGAUCAAACAGG
rnacentral:rRNA from 1 species